GGAUUAAUUGCAUAUUCACCGUAUGCAGGCCGCUACCUUGUUGACUUCUUUGGUCGAAUCUACCGUGAGUAAUCGCGCUCCUUGCGGUCAUUCUUCCGCUGGUAAAAGGCUGCUCCAUGGUGCUGACGGGCGGUGUGCCGGGCCGAGCGUCUUCUUUGUGCUGAUCCGCGAUGCUGCCGGUCAACUUCUGGUGAGUUUACAGACUGCCUGAUCGGAUACGAUCGGGUUUCUGAUUCGCUCCCUGUGCGGGUUGGCAACCCUCUUCGCCAAACCAUUGUAUCGACGUAUGAAACCUACCUGCACAGAGACGCGGACAGCAUCAUCCCCACCUUCCUCGGUUUGUCACGGCAGUCUCAUUAGAGUGCCCUUUCGUAGCAACCCAAUGAGGUUGCGCUCUGGUGGACUUAACUUAACAUCUCACGACACGAGCUGACGACAGCCUUACAGCACCUGUGUUCCGGUUCCGCGACACUUUCCAAAUCUCGCUGAGUUCCAGACAUGUCAAAUUGUUGAUCAGGUUUUUCGCGUUGCAUCGUUAAUCCCAUCAUCCGCUUGUGCAGGUCCCAAUCAUUCUUUGAGGUUUUAAUCUUGCGACCUUCUCCCCAGUGGUCAACUUCACGCGUUAGCACUGCAAAGGCCCGAAGCCACAACAGCUCGUUGACAUCGUUUUGAGGCGUGGACUACCGGGGUAUCUAAUCCUGUUUGCUUCACGCUCGUGCAUGAGCGUCAGUGUUAUCCCAGGAGGCUACCUUCGCCAUCGGUGUUCCUCCGCAUAUCUACGCAUUUCACUACUGCAUAGAUUCCACCUCCCUCUGACACACUCUAGCUCGGUAGUUAAAUGCAGUUUAGAUUCAACUCGGGAUUUCACAUCUUUCUUUCCGAUAACCUGCGCACGCUUCGCCAGUAAUUCCGAUUAACGCACCCCUACGUAUUACCGCAGCUGCUGGCACGUAGUUAGCCGGUACUUAUUCUGCAGGUACCGUCAGUUGCACGAGGGUAUUAUCCCGUGCCGUUUCUUCACCGAAAAGAAGUGCUUUACCUGACAAGGCCUUCAUGUUUACGCGAGAUGGCUGGAUCGGGGUUUUCCCCCAUUGUCCAAAAAUUCCCCACUGCUGCCUCCAUGCGUGAUCUAGGCCCGUGUCUCCAGUCACAGUGUGGCUGGUCAUCCUCUCGACUUCAGCUACCGGAUCUGUCGCCGAUGAGCCAUUACCACCAACUUCAUUAAUCCGAUAUCGGCCGCUCUAAUAGUGCGAGGCCCGAAGGUCCCCGCUUUCCCCCGAAGGCGGUAUGCAGUAUUAGCUACGCUUUCGCGUGGUCUCCGCUUCUGACGUUCCGAUACAUUACUCGUUCAUACUCGCCACCAGACCGAAGUCCGUGCUGCCGUUCGACUUGCAUGUGUAAAGCAUCCGCCAGCGUUCAAUCUGAGCCAGAAUCAGAC
rnacentral:rRNA from 1 species